AACGAGGCCGACCUGCGGCUGAGUUACCUGCGGAGGGAUCAUUAACACGUAUCCAAACGAUACCAACCCUUGUGUGAUCUCGUAAUCGUCCCCGGAGAGCUGGUUUUUUCACUCGCCCUGAGCCUUCGCGGCUUGAGGCAGCGGUUCUUCUCGCCCCUGUGUGCGAAAGAGCUGAAACCUUCUUCUCCAUUAUUUCUCAAUUUACAAACCAAACUUCUUGUUGACUCACAUACAAGAAAG
rnacentral:misc_RNA from 1 species